rnacentral:rRNA from 1 species
UAAGCGGAGGAAAAGAAACCAACCGGGAUUGCCCCAGUAACGGCGAGUGAAGCGGCAACAGCUCAAAUUUGAAAUCGGGUCCCCCCCGCCGGGGGCCCGAGUUGUAAUUUGGAGAGGAUGCUUCGGGCGCGGCGGCCCUCCAAGUCCCCAGGAACGGGGCGCCGCGGAGGGUGAGAGCCCCGUACGGUCGGCCGCCCGCGCCCGCGCGAAGCUCCUUCGACGAGUCGAGUAGUUUGGGAAUGCUGCUCCAAGCGGGAGGUACGUUCCUUCUAAAGCUAAAUACCGGCCGGAGACCGAUAGCGCACAAGUAGAGUGAUCGAAAGAUGAAAAGCACCUUGGAAAGGGGGUCAAACAGCACGUGAAAUUGUUGAAAGGGAAGCGCUCGCGACCAGACGCGCGGCCGGCCGAUCCCGCGGCGCUCGCUCGCCGCGGCGCUCGGCCGGACGCGGGCCAGCGUCGGCUCGCGCGGGGGGACGAAGGCGCGGGGAACGUGGCUCCCUCCGGGGAGCGUUACAGCCCCGCGCGCAACGCCCCCGCCGCGGGCCGAGGUCCGCGCGGCAACGCAAGGACGCUGGCGUAAUGGUCGCCGGCGGCCCGUCUUGAAACACGGACCAAGGAGUCGAGGUCUCGCGCGAGUGUACGGGUGGCAAAGCCCGCGCGCGCAGUGAAAGCGAACGCCGGUGGGAGCCCCCCGCGGGCGCACCACCGACCGAUCCCGAUGUGCUCGGACGGAUUUGAGUAGGAGCGCGGGGCCUCGGACCCGAAAGAUGGUGAACUAUGCUUGGAUAGGGCGAAGCCAGAGGAAACUCUGGUGGAGGCUCGCAGCGGUUCUGACGUGCAAAUCGAUCGUCGAAUCUGAGCAUGGGGGCGAAAGACUAAUCGAACCGUCUAGUAGCUGGUUACCGCCGAAGUUUCCCUCAGGAUAGCAGCGUCGUCCUUCAGUUUUAUGAGGUAAAGCGAAUGAUUAGGGACUCGGGGGCGCCAUAUUGCCUCCAUCCAUUCUCAAACUUUAAAUAUGUAAGAAGCCCUUGUUGCUCGGCUGAACGUGGGCCUUCGAAUGCAC